rnacentral:rRNA from 1 species
GUGCCAGCCGCCGCGGUAAUACGUAGGCAGCGAGCGUUGUUCGGAGUUACUGGGCGUAAAGAGUAUGUAGGCGGUUGCGCAAGUUUGGUGUGAAAUCUCCCGGCUUAACUGGGAGGGUGCGCCGAAAACUGCGCGGCUAGAGUGCGGGAGAGGAGAGCGGAAUUCCUGGUGUAGCGGUGAAAUGCGUAGAUAUCAGGAGGAACACCGGCGGUGUAGACGGCUCUCUGGACCGCGACUGACGCUGAGAUACGAAAGCGUGGGGAGCAAACAGGAUUAGAAACCCUCGUAGUCC